UAAUGUAAUAAAUAGGGAAAACUUCAAAACCCUUGGUUUCGUAGUUUCUCACUUUGCCUCUAUGUGGUUUUAAAUAUAUCAAAUUAUCUCCCUGUAGUUUCAUUUUUAUCUUUUCGAUAGCUUUUUCGUUAAUAUUUCAUUAAAUUAUAUACAAAAAACUUCAGAUACCCAUCUAAAUUUCUCAAAUAUUUACUUUAAUACCCUUUAAUUUUAACUUUAUCACUGAUUUAAAAAAAAAAAAUAAUGAAAUUGAUAAGAAAAAGAGAAAAAAAAAUCACAGGAGAGCAAAUUGAUAU
rnacentral:lncRNA from 1 species